CAUGUACUCCCUCCGUCCGGAAAUACUUGUCCGAGAAAUGGAUGAAUCUAGAUGUAUUUUAGUUCUAGAUACAUCCUUUCUCUGACAAGUAUUUUUGGACGGAGGGAGUAGUAU
rfam:Triticum aestivum genome assembly, contig: Triticum_aestivum_CS42_TGACv1_scaffold_529027_6DL